rnacentral:rRNA from 1 species
GAUGAACGCUGGCGGCGUGCUUAACACAUGCAAGUCGAACGGGAUCCAUCAGGCUUUGCUUGGUGGUGAGAGUGGCGAACGGGUGAGUAAUGCGUGACCGACCUGCCCCAUACACCGGAAUAGCUCCUGGAAACGGGUGGUAAUGCCGGAUGCUCCAGUUGAUCGCAUGGUCUUCUGGGAAAGCUUUCGCGGUAUGGGAUGGGGUCGCGUCCUAUCAGCUUGACGGCGGGGUAACGGCCCACCGUGGCUUCGACGGGUAGCCGGCCUGAGAGGGCGACCGGCCACAUUGGGACUGAGAUACGGCCCAGACUCCUACGGGAGGCAGCAGUGGGGAAUAUUGCACAAUGGGCGCAAGCCUGAUGCAGCGACGCCGCGUGAGGGAUGGAGGCCUUCGGGUUGUAAACCUCUUUUAUCGGGGAGCAAGCGAGAGUGAGUUUACCCGUUGAAU